GACAGAGGGUGCAAGCGUUGUUCGGAAUUACUGGGCGUAAAGCGCGUGUAGGCGGCUUUGCAAGUCGGAUGUGAAAUCCCACGGCUCAACCGUGGAAGUGCAUUCGAAACUGCAAGGCUAGAGUCCUGGAGAGGAAGGUGGAAUGCUUGGUGUAGAGGUGAAAUUCGUAGAUAUCAAGCGGAACACCGGUGGCGAAGGCGGCUUUCUGGACAGUGACUGACGCUGAGACGCGAAAGCGUGGGGAGCAAACAGG
rnacentral:rRNA from 1 species